CGGGGAAUAUUGGACAAUGGGCGCAAGCCUGAUCCAGCCAUGCCGCGUGAGUGAUGAAGGCCCUAGGGUUGUAAAGCUCUUUCACCGGUGAAGAUAAUGACGGUAACCGGAGAAGAAGCCCCGGCUAACUUCGUGCCAGCAGCCGCGGUAAUACGAAGGGGGCUAGCGUUGUUCGGAUUUACUGGGCGUAAAGCGCACGUAGGCGGACUUUUAAGUCAGGGGUGAAAUCCCGGGGCUCAACCCCGGAACUGCCUUUGAUACUGGAAGUCUUGAGUGUGGUAGAGGUGAGUGGAAUUCCGAGUGUAGAGGUGAAAUUCGUAGAUAUUCGGGGGAAAACCAGUGGGGGAGGCGGCUCGCUGGGCCAUUACUGACGCUGAGGUGCGAAAGCGUGGGGAGCAAACAGG
rnacentral:rRNA from 1 species